rnacentral:lncRNA from 1 species
AAGCACUAAUUAAAAAACCAAAUACUAUAUAAAUUUCACCACCGAUAAUAAAUUAUUGCCAUAAAAAAACACAAAAAGAAUUACAAGCGCGAGAUUUGCGAGCCUAAUGGGUACAAAGACAUGGGGACCGGUGGACGGGGGUGCGACUUCUCUUUCUUUUUCGAUUUCUCAGAUAUAUUUUCUGUGUUAGCAUUAGAUUUGCGUGACGACGGAGAAGAGAAAAAACACCUAAAAAAGCUUGAGCUGAACAAACCCAUAGCUAGAGAGUAGUAAAUGUUGAGUAUAUAUACAAUUUUUGUUGUAGGCAAUAUUGUUAAAAUCUUAUAUGCUAAAAAAGAUGAUGAAUGAA